GGGCCCGCACAAGCGGUGGAGUAUGUGGUUUAAUUCGAUGCAACGCGAAGAACCUUACCAGGGCUUGACAUCCCGGGAACCCGCCUGAAAGGGCGGGGUGCCCUUCGGGGAGCCCGGAGACAGGUGGUGCAUGGCUGUCGUCAGCUCGUGUCGUGAGAUGUUGGAUUAAGUUCCGCAACGAGCGCAACCCUCGUCGUAUGUUGCCAGCGGUUCGGCCGGGCACUCAUGCGAGACUGCCGCAGCAAUGUGGAGGAAGGUGGGGAUGACGUCAAGUCAGCAUGCCCCGUACGCCCUGGGCUACACACAUACUACAAUGCCACCGGCAAACCGUUGCUAACCCGCGAGGGGGCGCUAAUCGGAGAAGCGGUGGCUCAGUGCGGAUUGCAGGCUGCAACUCGCCUGCAUGAAGUCGGAAUCGCUAGUAACCGUCGGUCAGCAUGUACGACGGUGAAUACGUUCCCGGGCCUU
rnacentral:rRNA from 1 species